UACAGCAAUAUCACGUUGAAAAAAACGGUUUUCGUACGAUCACUGAAGUUAAGCAACGUUGAGCGUGGUCAGUACCUAGAUGAGUGACCGUUUGGGAAU